rnacentral:tmRNA from 1 species
GGGGGCGUUCUGGUUUCGACUGGUGGUUUGAAGGGUUGGCUGCAUGCCGAGGUUGAUCGGUUGGCCUCGUAAAAAGCCGAUUAAACAAAUAAACGCAACUAACGAACCUGAACUUGCUCUGGCGGCCUAAUUGAGCCGCCCGUGGCCUUGCCCGACGCCUGCUGAGGCGAGGCCGCGACACCUUGGCAGGCUGGCUGACCGCCGGGCGUCCGGGCGGCUCAGCGAGAGGUUACAGUGACGAUCGGAGAGACCGGAUUCUGUCUGUCGAAGACGCCUCUCCUAAAUCAAAAGACAGAAUAAGCAUGUAGAGGCUUUCACGGACGGCCACAAGGACAGGGGUUCGACUCCCCUCGCCUCCACCA